AGCCUGAUGCAGCGACGCCGCGUGAGGGAUGGAGGCCUUCGGGUUGUAAACCUCUUUUGUUAGGGAGCAAGGCACUUUGUGUUGAGUGUACCUUUCGAAUAAGCACCGGCUAACUACGUGCCAGCAGCCGCGGUAAUACGUAGGGUGCAAGCGUUAUCCGGAAUUAUUGGGCGUAAAGGGCUCGUAGGCGGUUCGUCGCGUCCGGUGUGAAAGUCCAUCGCUUAACGGUGGAUCCGCGCCGGGUACGGGCGGGCUUGAGUGCGGUAGGGGAGACUGGAAUUCCCGGUGUAACGGUGGAAUGUGUAGAUAUCGGGAAGAACACCAAUGGCGAAGGCAGGUCUCUGGGCCGUUACUGACGCUGAGGAGCGAAAGCGUGGGGAGCGAACAGGAUUAGAUACCCUGGUAGUCCACGCCGUAAACGGUGGAUGCUGGAUGUGGGGCCCGUUCCACGGGUUCCGUGUCGGAGCUAACGCGUUAAGCAUCCCGCCUGGGGAGUACGGCCGCAAGGCUAAAACUCAAAGAAAUUGACGGGGGCCCGCACAAGCGGCGGAGCAUGCGGAUUAAUUCGAUGCAACGCGAAGAACCUUACCUGGGCUUGACAUGUUCCCGACGGCCCCAGAGAUGGGGUUUCCCUUCGGGGCGGGUUCACAGGUGGUGCAUGGUCGUCGUCAGCUCGUGUCGUGAGAUGUUGGGUUAAGUCCCGCAACGAGCGCAACCCUCGCCCCGUGUUGCCAGCGGAUUAUGCCGGGAACUCACGGGGGACCGCCGGGGUUAACUCGGAGGAAGGUGGGGAUGACGUCAGAUCAUCAUGCCCCUUACGUCCAGGGCUUCACGCAUGCUACAAUGGCCGGUACAACGGGAUGCGACAGUGCGAGCUGGAGCGGAUCCCUGAAAACCGGUCUCAGUUCGGAUCGCAGUCUGCAACUCGACUGCGUGAAGGCGGAGUCGCUAGUAAUCGCGAAUCAGCAACGUCGCGGUGAAUGCGUUCCCGGGCCUUGUACACACC
rnacentral:rRNA from 1 species